rnacentral:rRNA from 1 species
UACGGGGGGAGUAAGCGUUGUUCGGAUUUACUGGGCGUAAAGGGCGCGUAGGCGGUCAGCACAAGUCAGUUGUGAAAUCUCCGGGCUUAACUCGGAAAGGUCAACUGAUACUGUGCGACUAGAGUGCAGAAGGGGCAACUGGAAUUCUCGGUGUAGCGGUGAAAUGCGUAGAUAUCGAGAGGAACACCUGCGGCGAAGGCGGGUUGCUGGGCUGACACUGACGCUGAUGCGCGAAAGCCAGGGGAGCGAACGGGG